ACCAUCCAAACAAACCGUAAAAGGUUCAAAUUGUAAAUUUACCGGUGAUGCUCAGUGGACCACGGUAACGCAGAACGCGGUGGAAACCAGCCGGAAUAUCACCGGAACUCUCAUUUUGUACCGCCGAAUUGGCCUUCCGACGAGACUAUCUCUCGUAACGACGACAAUCAUAGAAGAAAAUUUCCCGGCGAUGGCAACCACUUCAAUCGCCGCCAGCAUCACCACCACCACCACAAAACCCUAAUUCCGAGCAGAAUUUCGGUGGUUCACAGCCUCUUUCAGCUCGUAAGAGACCCUACGAUCAAUUAACAUCUGGUACAAAGCAUUAUUCUCCCGCUCCUAAUUAUCAAUUCCCCAAAAAAAUAAAAUCUACUGGUCCUAAUUUGUGUGGCGCAUUUGCUUAUCAAGUGUAAAUUUAGAGACUUGAUUAUUUCAUUUUUUCAUAUCAAAAAUUAAAAUGUCAUAUAUACUGACAGUACUUUCUUUUUCUGUAAGUUUUUUUUGUUGUUGUUGUAAUUGGAACUAACUCUAAUCUAUUUUGUAACUUUGCAUCUUCUCGACGCUUGUAACGAAGAAUCUCAUUUCAUCAAAAAUUAUAUACUGACGGUCCGUGUCGGAGCUGGGAUUUUCACUAAGGGGGUCAAAAUAUUAAGAAGUAAUAAUUUUUUUUACUUAGCUACACAAUGUAGCAUGUUGCUUUGCCGCAACAGUACCUUUUAAGUGCAUGAUUGUGUAAAAAAUCUUACACAAUCAUUAUCGUCUGCUUCUUACAUACAUUUUCCUUUUCAAAAAACAAUGAUCUAGAUUGUUGCUUCACACAUUUGCUAUCUAGUGGCCGAAGCAAACUUUGAACCAUAUUCAGAUACAACGAGAUUGUGUCUUGUGGGUGCAGAUCACUUGAAAUUUCCCCGAACGUAUGCUAGUCGAGAGGCUAUUCAGGUGCUGCUGACUCAAUUUUUUGUGCAUUUUCUAGUCAUACGACGAGAUGUGAAACAUCUUGUGCCACAGCUAGCAUAUGCACUCAUGUAACUGUAUGUGCUACUUGGUUAACACGGGUUUAUCGCUUGACUGAUCAAAUAUUUUUAUGGACAGAGGACUGAGAUUUAUGAAUAGUCGAAGGUGCUGGGGAAUUCUCAAUUUAUUCUCCUUCCUUUUCAACCAUAUAAACUUCUGUAUGCACGCAUGUUAGCUGAAGUUGGAAGGAUAUCGGACGCAUUAAAGUACUGUCAAGCAUUAUCGAAAUCACUUAAAACUGGCCGAACCCCUGAGACUAAAACAUUGAGAACAGAGAAACGGGAUAAGACACCUGUCUUGGAGUUCUUCCAGUGUCAGGCUCUGAAACACUUCUACUGUGCAUUGACAUUCUACCGCUAUCUGCUGCCCAUUCACUUAUUGGCUCCAUAGAUGCUGAGGGCAUCAGUGAUGACAUUGCCAUGGUUGACUGACUACUUGAAACUCUAGACCCCGCAAACUGAUGAUGUUGUUCAUUCCCUUGUAAACUGCCACUAGUUGGCAUUGGUGGUGGCAAUACGAUGAGCCGUGCUAUCAAAAAGGUUAAGCAAUUUACCAACCAAUUUUCCAGGAGCCAAAUUUGUGGAGAACCCUCCCUGAAUGCAGAAAGUUCCACCAUAAGUAACUCUGAGACAAUCAUUCAACAUAGAUGAGAGGAUAAAGAGAUGACACUAACUGUUACAUUUGACUCAAUCUAUCUGAUCUGGUUUGAAAAGAUGAGUUUGUCAUGUAUUUGUGUAGGAUCACGUUGACCCGUCAAAGGAAGCAAGCUCAAGUAACACAGGAAGCAAUGCAUCAGGAGCUGGAGGGACAUCACGCUUUCGCCGCUUUAGCUUUGGCUCCCAGCUUCUCCAGAAAACUAUUGGAUUAGUCCUCAUACCCUGUCAAGGCCGUCAGGUAUAUUAUUUAUUUUUCUCCGCUGUCAUCUUCUAGAUUGUGGUCCUCAUAAAGUUUGAUGCCGAGACUUCUUUCCAUUUGUCUUGAUUCCUUGCAAGCAAAAUUGGGUGAAACGAAUAAAUUUUAUUAUGAUGAAAAACUUAAAAGAUGGGUAGAGGAAGGGGCUGAACUUCCCGCUGAGGAACCGACCCUUGCACCUCCACCAACCAGUGCAGUUUUCCAAAAUGGAGCACCAGAUUAUAACUUGAAGAGUGUAUUAAAAAGUGAAAGUUCCAUAUGCAACAAUGGAUUUCCGGAAAUGAAGAGUCCAACUUCUGCUGAUAACGGUUCGGGAAUCCCACCUCUUCCACCUACGUCCAACCAAUUCUCGGCUCGUAGUCGUGUGGGUGUCCGGUCAAGGCAAGUGAUAUUGUCUUAUUAAUUAUCUUUGGAUGAUAUGUUUGAACCUUUUGUGGCUUAGGCACGACAGCCCUUGUUUGUUUUCUUGGUCUGAUUCUGAAAUAGGAUGUUUAAUUGUUAAGAAUAUACUUGAUAAGCCCUAUGCAUCAAACUAACAUUUUUAGUGUAAUGCCAAGUUUUUUGUUCCCACUCCAAUGUCUCCUGUUGAAGAGACGGGGAACAGUACUUCCAA